ACGCACGCUGGCGGCGUGCUUAACCCAUGCAAGUCGAACGGAAAGGCCCCUUUGUGGGUCCUCGAGUGGCGAACGGGUGAGUAACACGUGAGUAACCUGCCCUUGACUUCGGGAUAACUUCAGGAAACUGGGGCUAAUACCGGAUAGGAAUCCUUGCUGCAUGGUGGGGGUUGGAAAGCUUCGGCGGUUUUGGAUGGACUCGCGGCUUAUCAGCUUGUUGGUGGGGUAGUGGCUUACCAAGGCUUUGACGGGUAGCCGGCCUGAGAGGGCGACCGGCCACAUUGGGACUGAGAUACGGCCCAGACUCCUACGGGAGGCAGCAGUGGGGAAUAUUGCACAAUGGGCGGAAGCCUGAUGCAGCAACGCCGCGUGCGGGAUGACGGCCUUCGGGUUGGAAACCGCUUUCAGCAGGGGCGAAGCUUGUGGUGACGGUACCUGCAGAAGAAGCACCGGCUAACUACGUG
rnacentral:rRNA from 1 species